UAACACAUGCAAGUCGAGGGGUAACAUAGGAAAGCUUGCUUUUCUGAUGACGACCGGCGCACGGGUGCGUAACGCGUAUACAACCUACCUUUUAGCGGGGAAUAGCCCAGGGAAACUUGGAUUAAUGCCUCAUAGUAUAUAAACUUCUCCUGAAGUUUUAUUAAACAUUUAUGGCUAUUAGAUGGGUAUGCGUCCUAUUAGUUAGUUGGUAAGGUAACGGCUUACCAAGGCAGCGAUAGGUAGGGGUCCUGAGAGGGAGAUCCCCCACACUGGUACUGAGACACGGACCAGACUCCUACGGGAGGCAGCAGUGAGGAAUAUUGGACAAUGGGCGAGAGCCUGAUCCAGCCAUGCCGCGUGCAGGAAGACUGCCCUAUGGGUUGUAAACUGCUUUUACAGAGGAAGAACCACCCCCACGUGUGGGGGUUUGACGGUACUCUGCGAAUAAGGAUCGGCUAACUCCGUGCCAGCAGCCGCGGUAAUACGGAGGAUCCAAGCGUUAUCCCGAAUCAUUGGGUUUAAAGGGUCCGUAGGCGGGCAGUUAAGUCAGUGGUGAAAGUCUUCCGCUCAACGGGAGAACUGCCAUUGAUACUGAUUGUCUUGAGUUAUUAUGAAGUGGUUAGAAUGAGUAGUGUAGCGGUGAAAUGCAUAGAUAUUACUCAGAAUACCGAUUGCGAAGGCAGAUCACUAAUAAUAUACUGACGCUGAUGGACGAAAGCGUAGGUAGCGAACAGGAUUAGAUACCCUGGUAGUCUACGCCGUAAACGAUGGUUACUAGCUGUUCGGCCCAAUUGAGGGCUGAGUGGUUAAGCGAAAGUGAUAAGUAACCCACCUGGGGAGUACGUUCGCAAGAAUGAAACUCAAAGGAAUUGACGGGGGCCCGCACAAGCGGUGGAGCAUGUGGUUUAAUUCGAUGAUACGCGAGGAACCUUACCAGGGCUUAAAUGUAGUCUGACAGGUCUGGAAACAGACUUUUCUUCGGACAGAUUACAAGGUGCUGCAUGGUUGUCGUCAGCUCGUGCCGUGAGGUGUCAGGUUAAGUCCUAUAACGAGCGCAACCCCUGUGGUUAGUUGCCAGCGAGUAAUGUCGGGAACUCUAGCCAGACUGCCGGUGCAAACCGCGAGGAAGGUGGGGAUGACGUCAAAUCAUCACGGCCCUUACGUCCUGGGCCACACACGUGCUACAAUGGUAGGGACAGAGAGCAGCCACUUCGCGAGAAGGAGCGAAUCUACAAACCCUAUCACAGUUCGGAUCGCAGUCUGCAACUCGACUGCGUGAAGCUGGAAUCGCUAGUAAUCGCAUAUCAGCCAUGAUGCGGUGAAUACGUUCCCGGGCCUUGUACACACCGCCCGUCAAGCCAUGGAAGCCGGGGGUACCUGAAGUCGGUCACCGCAAGGAGCCGCC
rnacentral:rRNA from 1 species